rnacentral:lncRNA from 1 species
UUUGAAUUGCAAUGUGGUGUAUCCAAUCCAUAGAGUAAAGAAAACUGAACCAGUAUCAUUAAAGCUUGACGUGUUGAAAUAAGUGGCCUGGGACUGGCUUCCACGGUGAUAAGAGAUUCAUCUGGUAGCACCAGAGUAAAAGAAGUCUCACUAAACACUGGCCGGGCAGCUGCUGCUCGGUGUGAGCAUCCCGGGGAUGCAAGGGUGGGGGAGCUCACUCGGGUACACAGCCCCCUGCAACAACAGCAGAGGCGCAGGACCCAUUGGGAAGAGAGAAGAGUCGCUGAGCCUGAAUGUGCUGGUGCAACACCUGGGGUCUUGUCGCCUGAAGUUUCCAGGGCAGGAGGCCUGGGAGGAGCCUGAGGUUCUGAUCCCAGCACAGGCUCCCAGAGAAUAAAGAAGCUGCCCAAGAAAUGAUUAAUUGACAAAGGAAGACUUCUAAGAAGAGAUGAGACUACCACGACAUGGCAUAAUUAAAUGACAUACUCAAGGAGACACAGCAAACACAUGCGUGAGACAGCAUGAGCCCAAAGUUCAUGCUUUUCCUCACAGCAUGGCACCACCUGACACCUCCAAGGAGGAAUAUUCCUGAGCAAAGUCCAGGAUGCAGUCUGUUUAGAGAAAAUAAAGAAUGCCAAAUAUUUAAUUCUGGCCCUUAGAGAAUCCAAAUAGAAACACUUAAGUAACC